CAGUCGAACGAGGAUUUAACGGAAUGCGAUUCGUCAAAUGAAAUUAAAUCCGAGCGGCGGACGGGUGAGUAACGCGUGGAUAACCUGCCUCACACAGGGGGACAACAGCCGGAAACGGCUGCUAAUACCGCAUAACACAAGUAAUUCGCAUGAAUAACUUGCCAAAGAUUUUAUCGGUGUGAGAUGGAUCCGCGUCUGAUUAGCCAGUUGGCGGGGUAACGGCCCACCAAAGCGACGAUCAGUAGCCGACCUGAGAGGGUGACCGGCCACAUUGGGACUGAGACACGGCCCAAACUCCUACGGGAGGCAGCAGUGGGGAAUAUUGCACAAUGGGCGAAAGCCUGAUGCAGCGACGCCGCGUGAAGGAUGAAGUAUUUCGGUAUGUAAACUUCUAUCAGCAGGGAAGAAAAUGACGGUACCUGACUAAGAAGCCCCGGCUAACUACGUGCCAGCAGCCGCGGUAAUACGUAGGGGGCAAGCGUUAUCCGGAUUUACUGGGUGUAAAGGGAGCGUAGAUGGCAUGGCAAGUCUGAAGUGAAAGCCCGGGGCUUAACCCCGGGACUGCUUUGGAAACUGUUAAGCUAGAGUGCAGGAGAGGUAAGCGGAAUUCCUAGUGUAGCGGUGAAAUGCGUAGAUAUUAGGAGGAACACCGGUGGCGAAGGCGGCUUACUGGACUGUAACUGACAUUGAGGCUCGAAAGCGUGGGGAGCAAACAGGAUUAGAUACCCUGGUAGUCCACGCCGUANACGAUGAAUACUAGGUGUUGGGGAGUAUAAGCUCUUCGGU
rnacentral:rRNA from 1 species